rnacentral:tRNA from 1 species
GAGGGUAUAGCUCAAAGUGGCAGAGUGUGUGCUUAGUAUGCAUAAGGUCCUGGGUUUAAUCCCCAGUACUUCCU